GGGAGUUCUGUGUGAUCAAAGGGAAAAGGGGAAAAUCAGGUUUGGGUCACGUGUGGGAUGAGCUGGUUUAUUGGUCUCUGGUGAUGGACAUAACAAAUUAUCCCGUUAUGGUUGAAAAUGGAAUAUCCCUCAAAAUCUCAUGUGUAAAAGGCCUGAUCCCCAAUGUCACCAUGUUCAGAGGCAGGGUUUUUAGGAGAUGAUUGGACCACAAGAACUGUAACCUCAUCAGGGGAUUCAUCCAUCUGAUUGGUUGAAUGCAUUAUUGGGAGACGGGUCUGAGCUAGAGGAAGUGGAUUACCGCUGCAUGCUCUGAAAGGAUUCAUCUUGUCUCUGUCCCCUUCCUCUGUGUCUCUCUGCUUCCAGCUGCUAUGAUCUGAGCUGCUUUUCUCGGACACACCCUUCCACCUCACCUCAGACGCAGAGUAAUGGAGUUGGCCAACCAUGGACUGAGACCUCUAAAACUGAGCCAAAAUAAACUUUUCCUUCUCCAAGUUGUUAAUGCACAUAUUUUUGUCACAGCAACAAAAAGCUGACUAGCACUUACCCCAAAUGGAGUUGCCUAAAGCAACACAAAUUUAAUGUCUUACUGCUCUGGAGUUCAGAAGACUGAAAUGGAUCUCACUGGGCUAAAAGGGAGGCGAGAACAGGGCUGGCUCCUUCUGGAGAUGCCAAGGAAGAGUCUGUUUCUGUCUCCCUGCCUGUUCCAGCACAGAGCACCCACAUCCCUCCACCUCUAGAGCCAGCAACACAGGGCGGAAGGACUCCUCUGACAGUGCCAUCCUCUGGCUUGGUCUCCAUCACGACAUCAUCUGGUGUGAACACACCCCCCACCUCCCUCUUUCACAUGAGGACCCCUGUGAUUACACUGGACCCGCCCAGAUAGUUCAGGACAAUCUUCCAUCUCAAAAUUAGCAGGUGAGUGACCUCAACCCCCCUCAUCAUGUGAUUUAACAUACUUGUGAGGCCAAGGGUCAGGCAGGGGACCUCUCUGGGGGACAUUAUUCUGCCUACCACACUUGACAGGUGGAUGCAGGUCAAAAGCG
rnacentral:lncRNA from 1 species